AUUGAACGCUGGCGGCAGGCCUAACACAUGCAAGUCGAGCGGAGCGGCGGACGGGGGAGUAAUGCCUAGGAAUUUGCCUGGUAGUGGGGGAUACCGUCCGGAAGCGGGAGCUAAUACAACAUGCUAGCAGAUGAGCCUAGGGGGGAUUAGCUAGUUGGAGGGGGAAAGGCCUACCAAGGCGACGAUCCGUAACUGGUCUGAGAGGAUGAUCAGUCACACUGGAACUGAGACACGGUCCAGACUCCUACGGGAGGCAGCAGUGGGGAAUAUUGGACAAUGGGCGAAAGCCUGAUCCAGCCAUGCCGCGUGUGUGAAGAAGGUCUUCGGAUUGUAAAGCACUUUAAGUUGGGAGGCGUUACCAACAGAAUAAGCACCGGCUAACUUCGUGCCAGCAGCCGCGGUAAUAC
rnacentral:rRNA from 1 species